rnacentral:rRNA from 1 species
GGAUCCAGACUUUGAUCCUGGCUCAGGACGAACGCUGGCGGCGCGCCUAACACAUGCAAGUCGAACGAGCGAGAGAGAGCUUGCUUUCUCAAGCGAGUGGCGAACGGGUGAGUAGCGCGUGAGGAACCUGCCUCAAAGAGGGGGACAACAGUUGGAAACGACUGCUAAUACCGCAUAAGCCCACGGGUCGGCAUCGACCAGAGGGAAAAGGAGCAAUCCGCUUUGAGAUGGCCUCGCGUCCGAUUAGCUAGUUGGUGAGGUAAUGGCCCACCAAGGCGACGAUCGGUAGCCGGACUGAGAGGUUGAACGGCCACAUUGGGACUGAGACACGGCCCAGACUCCUACGGGAGGCAGCAGUGGGGAAUAUUGCACAAUGGGGGAAACCCUGAUGCAGCGACGCCGCGUGGAGGAAGAAGGUCUUCGGAUUGUAAACUCCUGUUGUUGAGGAAGAUAAUGACGGUACUCAACAAGGAAGUGACGGCUAACUACGUGCCAGCAGCCGCGGUAAAACGUAGGUCACAAGCGUUGUCCGGAAUUACUGGGUGUAAAGGGAGCGCAGGCGGGAAGACAAGUUGGAAGUGAAAUCUAUGGGCUCAACCCAUAAACUGCUUUCAAAACUGUUUUUCUUGAGUAGUGCAGAGGUAGGCGGAAUUCCCGGUGUAGCGGUGGAAUGCGUAGAUAUCGGGAGGAACACCAGUGGCGAAGGCGGCCUACUGGGCACCAACUGACGCUGAGGCUCGAAAGUGUGGGUAGCAAACAGGAUUAGAUACCCUGGUAGUCCACACCGUAAACGAUGAUUACUAGGUGUUGGAGGAUUGACCCCUUCAGUGCCGCAGUUAACACAAUAAGUAAUCCACCUGGGGAGUACGACCGCAAGGUUGCAACUCAAAUGAAUUGACGG